rnacentral:lncRNA from 1 species
UUUUUUUUUUUUUUUUGUCUUUUUUUUGUCUUUUCUGGGGCCACUCCCGCGGCAUAUGGAGGUUCCCAGACUAGGGGUCCAAUCGGAGCUGUAGUCGCCGGCCUACACCAGAGACACAGCAACGAGGGAUCCGAGCCACGUCUGCGACCUACACCACAGCUCAUGGCAAUGCCGGAUCGUUAACCCACUGAGCAAGGGCAGGGAUCGAACCCGCAACCUCAUGGUUCCCAGUCGGAUUCGUUAACCACUGUGCCACAACGGGAACUCCUGUUUUAGGGUCUUUUGGGAAAGCAAUUUAGCAACAUUUAUUAAAACUAAAAAUAGGAGUUCCUGUGGCUCAGCAGGUUACAGACCUGACUAGUAUCCAUGAGGAUGCAGGUUCAGUCUCUGGCCUCGUUCAGUGGGUUAAGUAUCCAGUGUUGCCAUGAGCUAUGGUGUAGGUCACAGAUGCUGCUUGGAUCUGGCAUUGCUGUGGUUGUGGUGUAGGCCGGAAGCUGCAGCUCCAAUUCGACCUCUAGCCUGGGAAUGUCCAUAUGCCGAAGGUGCAGCCCUAAAAAGAAAAGAAAAAAACCUAAAAAUAGGAGUUUCCUCUGUGGAGUUCCCGUCAUGGCGCAGUGGUUGACGAAUCCGACUAGAAACCAUGAGCCACUAUGGGAACUCCUAAAAGAGUUUACGAUUAGAUGGUAGCCCAAAAUGCUGUUUUAUACUAUGCCUAGUACAGAGUACGGUCUUGAAAAGUAUUGGUUGGGUCAACAAAGACAAAAUUGGGAAGAGCAUGUAAAAAUGUUUAGCUUAGUGAUGACCAUUUUGUAAUGUAUAGAGAUAUCAAAGAAUUAUAUCGUGUAUCAGAAACUAGGAUGACGUCGUGGGUCAAAUACGCUUUAAAACCAAAGGAACUCAUAGAAAAAGAGAUCAGAUUAGUGGUUACUAAAGGUGGGGGGGCAAGGGGACCAGAAAUUGGAUGAAGGUGGUCAACAGAUACAAACUUUCAGUUAUAAGACAAACAAGUACCAGGGAUGUAACGUGCCACAUGAUAAAUAUAAUUAACACAGAAUGAUACAUAUAUAUAUAUGAAAGUGGUUAAGAGGGUAAAUCCUAAGAGUUCUCAUCACAAGGAAAAAAUUUUUUUCUUUUAUUGUAUCUAUGUGAGAUGAUGGAUGUUCACUAAACUUAUUGAGACAAUAAUUUAAUGAUGUUAUGUAAAUCAAAUCAUCAUGCUGUACACUUUAAACUUACAUCGUGCUGUGUGUCAAUUAUAUGUCAAUAAUCCCGGAAAAAUGUGAUAGUAGAAUAAGUGUUUUAAAAUGUGAAUGUAAUUACUAUUUUUUAAAACAUGUAUAAAAAGGUUUAGUUCACAUAAACUUAGAUUUAGUCAAUAAUCUCACCUAUUCAAGACUUUUCCUUGAAUAGAUUUUCCUCCCUUUCUCUCUCUCUUCCUUCUCUCUUUCCUUCCAUCCUUCCUUCCACUCUUCUCUUUCACCAUUUUCAGAAGGAAAGACUCCAGUCAAAUUGAAAUUCUAAAUCCUGUUAACCUUACUUAGACCCUGUUAUUGCACCAUUUAACGAUGAGACAACAUCAUCAGCUCUUCAAUCAUGAGCUUUAAAUGCCAAAACGUGUUGAGCAAUUUUCAAAGUAUGAACGUUCCAUAGGAAAAGAAUGUUUAACAUUAAAAACAAACAAAAACAAAGCAGACAGUUCAUUAGAAACUCGUAAUCUGUGACAACCAAGAUAAUGUCACUAACAGGUUUCAGGAAGGGUCUCCAGACUGUGGAGAAACAAGAGCAGCACAUCUAGAAAGAAGGUACAUUUUCUCCCUAAUGAUGGUCAUUAAAGGAAAAGGCUGGGACCUCCAUGGAAAAACGAAAAUGUUCCCAGGGUCGAAGUGCUGCUUGGUUGGCAAGGCUCCCACAUCAACAGCAAAACAACUGCAUAGCAACCUACCUAUAACCCAUUUCUCACCCUUGACUGUCCAGGGAAAACUUCCCUACUAUUCCCGGUCUGCUCCGUAAAUUUUGUCAAAGGGGAGUUGAGCCUGUCUGUCCGCCAAGUCCUAGAGCAACACAGGCUGGCAUUUCCCAGCACAUGCUGUUCACCACGUGGGCUCUUGGAGCUCUGCCUCUUAGCUUCAGAGGCGUUUGAGCCCCCGCCCCUCCCCCAUUUCCUCUCACAAAGACAACACGCAAUAACAAUUACCAAGUGUGUGUGUGAGCUCCCAACUGACCGAGUACCUUAGAUCUGGUGGCCUGUGCUAUGAAUAUUAGGAAAGAGCUUUCAGCUUGUUUUUUGCCAUCUCAAGAGUACACAGAGUUCACAGUAAGAGCAAAAUAACAGUCACUUCUAAAACAAAGAAAACCCACUCUGAAUGCUGCAUUGCUAGGACCAUUUGCCAUCUGCUAAUUUCCUCAUGGCAGCGCUGCUUAUCGGGGCUCCAGCAAAAGCACCAACAUGCAAAUCCAGACCCGAGUACUUUUCCUCUUUCCAAGAGGGUGUUUCCUUGAACUUUCCCAUCUGCCUCUGAGUAAGAUGUAGAAAAUAUUAUUUAUAAAAUAAGACUAGCAAAUGACUCACAGUGAAUAAAAAUAAAUCAGGGUGCAGUUUGUCAUCUUGAUGAGAAAGAAAGCAAAAUGCUCCACAAUUGGAGAUACAACUCACUUUUUCAACUCUCCUCAAGGAACAUCUUCAAAUGAUAGGCAGGAAAUGGGUUUGU